rnacentral:misc_RNA from 1 species
UUUCUUUCUUUCUUUCUUUCUCUUCAAUGGCUACUGUUUUCCUUCUCUUCUUCCUCUCCAUUCUUUCUUUUUCUUCUGCUUCUUCUACAAAUGACCUGCCAAGAACCUUCAUUGUUAAAGUCCAACACGAUGCCAAGCCUUCCAUUUUCACUCUCCACAAGCACUGGUACGAUUCUUUCCUUUCCUCCCUUUCCUCUUCCUCCAAUAAAACGACGCCGUCUUCUUCUCCUCCUGCUGAGUCUCGCAUCAUCCACACUUACGAAACUGUUUUCCAUGGCUUUUCUGUCAAACUCUCCCCCACCGAGGCUCUUAAGAUCCAAGCCCUCCCCCAUGUCAUUGCCGUCAUACCUGAACGUCUCCGGCACGUGCAAACCACUCGAUCCCCUGAAUUUCUUGGCCUGAAGACCACAGAUAGUGCUGGGUUGCUUAAAGAAUCAGACUUUGGGUCGGAUCUUGUCAUCGGGGUUAUCGACACUGGAAUCUGGCCAGAGCGGCAAAGCUUCAACGACAGAGACUUGGGUCCAGUUCCGGCGAAAUGGAAAGGUACAUGUGUGAGUGGUAAAGACUUUAGUCCAGCUUCUUGUAACAGAAAGCUUAUAGGAGCUCGCUUCUUUUGCAAUGGCUACGAGGCAACCAACGGCAAGAUGAACGAGUCGACGGAGUACCGAUCUCCGCGGGACUCCGAUGGCCACGGCACCCAUACCGCAUCCAUAGCCGCCGGCCGUUAUGUGUUCCCAGCUUCGACACUGGGCUACGCUAAGGGUAUUGCUGCAGGGAUGGCACCGAAAGCUCGGCUUGCCACUUACAAAGUAUGCUGGAAUGCUGGAUGUUACGACUCCGACAUUCUCGCUGCAUUCGAUGCUGCUGUUAAUGAUGGGGUCGAUGUUAUUUCGCUCAGUGUCGGCGGCGUUGUAGUUCCCUAUUAUCUGGAUGCAAUUGCUAUUAGCUCGUUCGGAGCUGUAGAUCGUGGGGUCUUCGUCUCUGCCUCUGCCGGUAAUGGCGGCCCUGGUGGACUUACGGUCACCAAUGUAGCUCCCUGGGUUGCUACUAUUGGUGCUGGAACUAUUGACAGGGAUUUCCCAGCUGAUGUGAAGCUUGGAAGUGGAAAAGUGAUACCUGGUGUGAGUGUUUAUGGUGGUCCAGGUUUGGCUCCAGGGAAAAUGUAUCCUCUCAUUUAUGCUGGUAGUGAAGGUACUGGAGAUGGUUACUCUAGUUCUUUAUGCUUGGAGGGUUCUUUAGAUCCCAAGCUUGUUAAAGGCAAAAUUGUGUUGUGUGAUAGAGGGAUCAAUUCCAGGGCUGCUAAAGGUGAUGUUGUGAAGAAGGCAGGAGGAGUAGGAAUGAUUUUAGCUAAUGGGGUUUUUGAUGGUGAGGGUUUGGUUGCUGAUUGCCAUGUGUUGCCUGCUACUGCUGUGGGUGCAUCUGCUGGUGAUGACAUUAGAAGGUACAUUUCUGUGGCUUCUAAAUCAAACUCACCACCUACUGCUACUAUCGUUUUUAAGGGGACUAGACUCGGUGUUCGGCCAGCACCAGUUGUGGCUUCAUUUUCAGCUAGAGGGCCAAAUCCUGAGUCUCCUGAAAUUUUGAAGCCUGAUGUUAUUGCUCCUGGUUUGAACAUUCUUGCUGCUUGGCCCGAUAAAAUUGGGCCCUCUGGUGUUCCUACUGACAACAGAAGAACUGAAUUUAACAUUCUUUCAGGUACUUCUAUGGCUUGUCCUCAUGUUUCUGGGUUAGCUGCCUUGUUAAAGGCUGCACACCCAGAUUGGAGCCCAGCAGCAAUAAAAUCAGCUUUGAUGACAACUGCUUAUACAGUUGAUAAUCGCGGUGAAACAAUGCUUGAUGAGUCUACAGGAAAUACUUCAACUGUGAUGGAUUUUGGUGCAGGUCAUGUUCAUCCACAGAAGGCUAUAGAUCCUGGGUUAAUCUACGAUAUAUCAACAUUUGAUUAUGUGGAUUUUCUAUGCAAUUCAAAUUACACAGUAAACAACAUUCAGGUUGUGACUAGGAAAACUGCAGAUUGCAGUGGAGCAAAAAGAGCAGGCCAUGCAGGGAACUUGAAUUACCCUUCAAUGUCCGCUGUGUUUCAACAAUAUGGGAAGCAUAAGAUGUCUACCCAUUUCAUUAGGACAGUUACUAAUGUUGGGGAUCCAAAUUCUGUGUACAAAGUUACAAUUAAGCCACCCAGUGGGACUCUGGUGACAGUGCAGCCAGAGAAGCUUGUGUUUAGGAGGGUUGGGCAAAAAUUGAGCUUCCUUGUUAGAGUGGAAACCACAGCAGUGAAGCUCUCACCUGGAGGCUCAAGCUUGAAGAGUGGUUCUAUAGUGUGGUCAGAUGGAAAGCACACUGUCACUAGUCCUAUAGUUGUGACAAUGCAGCAACCACUUUAGUUUGGUUUUUAGGAAUUUUGCUUUAUUUGCUAUUAUAGAUUUUUAUAUAUUAUCUCUAUAUGUAUAAAAGGAAUGCAUGAGGCGUUUUCUAUAUCAGAAAGCGAUUGGAGUUGAAUUUGUUAUGCAUAUGCAGAGUGAAUUAAUGUAUAAUUUUCCUGGCAAAAAGAGGUGAGAACAUGCCUGUAGAAAACGUUUUUGUGUUGACUAAGAAGCCCAAUCAUAAUGAAAAGACCUCACUUUUCCUUUUGGAAGCCUUGCAAUAGAACCGUCAACUAAUUAUAAUUUUCUGUCGAGUGCAUGUGGGAAGGAUUUAGCAUCAAUUAUGAUUGUUUAUUGUUAAAUAUGUAUGUAAUUUCCUAGUCAAUGUGUCCAAAUGUAAUAAGCUAAACGACUUAAUAACAAAGGUAUCAUAAUAAUGACA